AUUGAACGCUGGCGGCAUGCCUUACACAUGCAAGUCGAACGGUAACGCGGGGCAACCUGGCGACGAGUGGCGAACGGGUGAGUAAUGCAUCGGAACGUGCCCAUUAGUGGGGGACAGCCCGGCGAAAGCCGGAUUAAUACCGCAUACGACCUACGGGUGAAAGCAGGGGAUCGCAAGACCUUGCGCUAUUGGAGCGGCCGAUGUCAGAUUAGGUUGUUGGUGGGGUAAAAGCCACCAAGCCGACGAUCUGUAGCUGGUCUGAGAGGACGACCAGCCACACUGGGACUGAGACACGGCCCAGACUCCUACGGGAGGCAGCAGUGGGGAAUUUUGGACAAUGGGCGCAAGCCUGAUCCAGCCAU
rnacentral:rRNA from 1 species